rnacentral:rRNA from 1 species
AUACGUAGGGGGCGAGCGUUGUCCGGAAUGAUUGGGCGUAAAGGGCGCGUAGGCGGCCCGGUAAGUCUGGAGUGAAGGUCCUGUUUUUAAGAUGGGAAUUGCUUUGGAUACUGUCGGGCUUGAGUGCAGGAGAGGUAAGUGGAAUUCCCAGUGUAGCGGUGAAAUGCGUAGAGAUUGGGAGGAACACCAGUGGCGAAGGCGACUUACUGGACUGUAACUGACGCUGAGGCGCGAAAGUGUGGGGAGCAAACAGGAGUAGAUACCCUGGUAGUCCACACUGUAAACGAUGAAUGCUAGGUGUAGGGGGUAUCGACCCCUUCUGUGCCGGAGUCAACACAAUAAGCAUUCCGCCUGGGGAGUACGGCCGCAAGGUUGAAACUCAAAUGAAUUGACGGGG